rnacentral:snRNA from 1 species
GGAUGUGAGGGCGAUCUGGCUGCAACAUCUGUCUCCCCAUGGAUCGCCAGGGUUGAUUCGGCUGAUCUGGCUGGCUAGGCGGGUGUCCCCUUCCUCCCUCACCGCUCCAUGUGCGUCCCUCCCGAAGCUGCGUGCUCGGUCGAAGAGGACGACCUUCCGCACUAGAGGAGGACCGGUCUUCGGUCAAGGGUAUCCCCUGCUAGAACCUCCAAACAAGCUCUCAAAUAAAUAAAUAUUAAAAAAAAAAAAACUAGGAAACUAAAAUUAAAUUAAAGCAAAAAUAAAUCUAUCCUCCCUCAAAUUU